UCAAGACCCAGUAACAGAACCUGCGAGCGAGAGCUAGGUGAAGGACCGGUCCUUUAGCUCUAGGGAAGCUCUGCCUACUUCUGAGAAAGCGAUGCCACAUGUGGGGUCCCGCAGCCCGUCGGUCAUUGCCUUCUCCAGCUGCUGGAAACAGCUAACCGGAGGGUGCACCCCGCGUUCAGGUGGCAGUGUUGAAGCCAAAAGCUUCCAGAAGUGGUUUCUGUAAAAAAAGUUGAAUGUAUAUGAGUGAGCAAGCAAACACAGGAAUCCAAAAAUCUACAGGUAUGUAGGUCAAUUAAUCCAUCUAUCUGUCUUUAUAAAUAUUUCAUUCCAAUAGUGCUAACCCAUUUGCUUUUAUGCUAAAUAUUUUGACAUUUCUAUAGUCUUUCUUGAAGUGAAACAUAUUUCAAGGUGCUGUCAGAGUUAAAAAUAAGACUAAUUAUUUCAGUGCAUUUAAAUAAAAAUAUGCAGCAUGCCAGAUUAUCCCAGUUCAUUGUUCUAAAAGAGAAGUGUUGUUUUUCCAUUGUGUCCACAUGGUAUAUUUUAAGGAAUGAUCUGAUCUAUUUAAAACAUUUAUCUGCCAGCUGCUCCAAAAUUUUUUUUAAUUUACAUUUCUGACUUGCCUUGUCGAGGCAAUAUAAAAACUGCUGCUGUUAAUUUUAUACCACAUUGAUCAGAAUACAGCUGCGUCACAACGCUUCCUUGCACUUCCCAUUCCGUGCCUCUGCCUCCCAAGUGCUGACAUUAUAGGUGUGUGCAACCUCUCCUGGUUUAUGCUGAGGCUUUGUGUGUGCUAGGCAAGGGCUCUACCAGUUAACCUGGCCCAAGUAGUUUCUUUCACACUAGCCUUUCUGUGUUUAGAACCUUCUCAUUGCUUUGCAGUUACUAUCUGGCUGCUUUUCCAGCCCGGCAGUUCAGCCCUUUGACUAAAGUACAGGCAUGUUAUAUGCAAUGCAAAGGCAAUCAAGUUUGCAAAUUGUAACAGCAAAAGGAUUUGACUCUGAUUAUUAUUACAGCCCGUGACAGAUCAAGCCUGGUGCACUUCAGAAGAGUUUGUGCCUGAUCUAUUCAAUAUUCAUCUCAACUCCAUCGUGAAGGAAUGAAAUGCAGAUAACUCGUUAGAAAACUUUUGUGGAAAGAAGUGACUUAUGCGAGCAGAACAAAGGCGUUUUAUAAUCAGAUUUACCAAGCUGAGAAGAGGGAGUUUCAGCAAACGGAAGCUCCCGGCAUUCUGUUACCAGGAAACACUGCAUUUUCCAGAAUUGGAUCACCAUGGAAGUGGGAAGCAUAGGCCUUGAAGGAAGCCAUACUAUAAUACAAAAUCAGUAUGUAAAAAAUUGGGAGAGAUAAGUACCAACAUACGGAGUAAUGAGUAAAAGUCAACCUCCAUGAGGUUGUGCUCACCCUUUAUCCAGUGUUGACCAGCCAUGAGAAGAACAUCUUGAACCAAUUAUUGUAAGUUCUUGAAGAGCUGCAAAUAUUUCCUUCAAAUGCAAUGUGGAGAGAAUUCCUUUGGUAGCAGCAGGAUGGCUUACCAGUUUGGUAUAGUAUUUAUUCCUCUCCCUCUAAGGAUGACUGCGGAGGCUUCGGUGUUCUUAUGAGACACAUGCUUUCCAACCAACUGUUCAUUUGGCAUUUCCUAGCUUUUGUCUUUUUUUUCCUAUGGAAUAAAUAGGAGCAUUUUAUCAAGCAGUCAUAAGUAUUUUAUCUUUUAACAUUCUUUAAAAAGAGACUUUAAGAGGUGUUUAUUGAAUGAAUUGGCAGGAUGAGAAUCUCGGAAACACUGUUUCAGAGCAAGACUGUUUAGACUAAUAUGUCCCAUAGAUUUAAUUAUGCACUAUUGCAUUUUCCAUGCCUGAAGGUAUUUUCUAUUCCACAAUGGUUUUAGCAAUUUAUUUUGUUACUCAUACCUCAAGAACUAGUGAAGAAAAAUUUUAGUUGAAGGUUAUCCCUUACUUAAUAAAGAGAAACCUACCAAUUCUUCUAAAGUCCAAAAGGUUCUGACAAAUAAAGAAAAAGUUCAUAUCACAAACUGAUGGCAAGUCCUAACCUGAGCUUACAUGAGGCCACUUGUAGUCUUUAUUUAGCUCACUAAGUCUGUAUGCUUUAUCAGAGAAAUAUUCACAUACUUGAUUCUGGAAUAGAGUACCAGACCUCUC